rnacentral:rRNA from 1 species
GACGAACGCUGGCGGCGUGCUUAACACAUGCAAGUCGAACGGAAAGGCCCUGCUUUUGUGGGGUGCUCGAGUGGCGAACGGGUGAGUAACACGUGAGUAACCUGCCCUUGACUUUGGGAUAACUUCAGGAAACUGGGGCUAAUACCGGAUAGGAGCUCCUGCUGCAUGGUGGGGGUUGGAAAGUUUCGGCGGUUGGGGAUGGACUCGCGGCUUAUCAGCUUGUUGGUGGGGUAGUGGCUUACCAAGGCUUUGACGGGUAGCCGGCCUGAGAGGGUGACCGGCCACAUUGGGCCUGAGAUACGGCCCAGACUCCUACGGGAGGCAGCAGUGGGGAAUAUUGCACAAUGGGCGGAAGCCUGAUGCAGCAACGCCGCGUGCGGGAUGACGUCCUUCGGGUUGUAAACCGCUUUCGCCUGUGACGAAGCGUGAGUGACGGUAAUGGGUAAAGAAGCACCGGCUAACUACGUG